GCCUGGCUAGCUCAGUCGGUAGAGCAUGAGACUCUUGGGUUGUGGGUUCGAGCCCCACGUUGGGUG
rnacentral:tRNA from 1 species